GACGAACGCUGGCGGCGUGCUUAACACAUGCAAGUCGAACGGAAAGGCCCUGCUUUUGUGGGGUGCUCGAGUGGCGAACGGGUGAGUAACACGUGAGUAACCUGACCUUGACUUUGGGAUAACUUCAGGAAACUGGGGCUAAUACCGGAUAGGAGCUCCUGCUGCAUGGUGGGGGUUGGAAAGUUUCGGCGGUUGGGGAUGGACUCGCGGCCUAUCAGCUUGUUGGUGGGGUAGUGGCUUACCAAGGCUUUGACGGGUAGCCGGCCUGAGAGGGUGACCGGCCACAUUGGGACUGAGAUACGGCCCAGACUCGUACGGGAGGCAGCAGUGGGGAAUAUUGCACAAUGGGCGGAAGCCUGAUGCAGCAACGCCGCGUGCGGGAUGACGGCCUUCGGGUUGUAAACCGCUUUCGCCUGUGACGAAGCGUGAGUGACGGUAAUGGGUAAAGAAGCACCGGCUAACUACGUG
rnacentral:rRNA from 1 species